rnacentral:rRNA from 1 species
UACGUAGGUGGCAAGCGUUGUCCGGAUUUACUGGGUGUAAAGGGUGCGUAGGCGGGACUACAAGUCAGGCGUGAAAUGCAUCGGCUUAACCGAUGAGCUGCGUUUGAAACUGUAGUUCUUGAGUGAAGUAGAGGUAGGCGGAAUUCCGAGUGUAGCGGUGAAAUGCGUAGAUAUUCGGAGGAACACCAGUGGCGAAGGCGGCCUACUGGGCUUUUACUGACGCUGGGGCACGAAAGCAUGGGUAGCAAACAGG